AUUGAACGCUGGCGGCAGGCCUAACACAUGCAAGUCGAGCGGAUGAAGGGAGCUUGCUCCUGGAUUCAGCGGCGGACGGGUGAGUAAUGCCUAGGAAUCUGCCUGGUAGUGGGGGAUAACGUCCGGAAACGGGCGCUAAUACCGCAUACGUCCUGAGGGAGAAAGUGGGGGAUCUUCGGACCUCACGCUAUCAGAUGAGCCUAGGUCGGAUUAGCUAGUUGGUGGGGUAAAGGCCUACCAAGGCGACGAUCCGUAACUGGUCUGAGAGGAUGAUCAGUCACACUGGAACUGAGACACGGUCCAGACUCCUACGGGAGGCAGCAGUGGGGAAUAUUGGACAAAGGGCGAAAGCCUGAUCCAGCCAUGCCGCGUGUGUGAAGAAGUUCUUCGGAUUGUAAAGCACUUUAAGUUGGGAGGAAGGGCAGUAAGUUAAUACCUUGCUGUUUUGACGUUACCAACAGAAUAAGCACCGGCUAACUUCGUG
rnacentral:rRNA from 1 species